rnacentral:misc_RNA from 1 species
ACAAACUUGGUCAUUUAGAGGAAGUAAAAGUCGUAACAAGGUCUCCGUUGGUGAACCAGCGGAGGGAUCAUUAUAGAGUGUCAAAACUCCAUAAACCACUGUGAAUCUACCUGAAUCGUUGCUUCGGUGGGCGGUCCCCGGGGGGGGCUCGCGGCCGUUAGGCGCCCGCCGGAGGAUACCAAACUCUUGUUUUAGUGGCCCUCUGAGUACUAUACAAACAAUCAAAACUUUCAACAACGGAUCUCUUGGCUCUAGCAUCGAUGAAGAACGCAGC